GCCUAUGGUGGCGCCGGGCGGGAGCCCCUUCGGGGGCGCAGGUCCUGGAGUCCUGUACGCCAAUCCCGUUCGGUCGCCACCCCC
rnacentral:antisense_RNA from 1 species